rnacentral:rRNA from 1 species
GUGUCAGCAGCCGCGCGGUAAUACGGAAGGGGCAAACGUUAUUCGGAAUUAUUGGGCGUAAAGCGUCCGUAGGCGGUUUGUUAAGUGGGCUGUGAAAACCUGGAGCUUAACUUGGGAACUGCAUUGGAAACUGUUGAACUUGAGUGUGGUAGAGGGAGGUAGAAUUUCCUGUGUAGCGGUGAAAUGCGUAGAUAUCGGAAGGAAUACCGAUGGCGAAGGCGCUCUGCUGGACCAUCACUGACGCUGAUGUGCGAAAGCCAGGGGAGCGAAAGGGAUUAGAUACCCCUGUAGUCCUGGCCGUAAACGAUGAACACUAGGUGUCGGGGGAAUCGACCCCCUCGGUGUCGUAGCCAACGCGUUAAGUGUUCCGCCUGGGGAGUACGCACGCAAGUGUGAAACUCAAAGGAAUUGACGGGGGCCCGCACAAGCGGUGGAGUAUGUGGUUUAAUUCGAGGCAACGCGAAGAACCUUACCCGGGUUUGACAUUGAGCGACGUUAGGUGAAAGCCUAAUUCCCUUCGGGGCGCGAAAACAGGUGCUGCAUGGCUGUCGUCAGCUCGUGCUGUGAAGUGUUCGGUUAAGUCCGGCAACGAGCGCAACCCAUACCCUUACUUGCUAACAGGUAAUGCUGAGAACUUUAAGGGGACUGCCCGUGUUAAGCGGGAGGAAGGUGUGGACGACGUCAAGUCAGUAUGGCCCUUACACCCGGGGCUGCACACGUGCUACAAUGGGCCGGUACAAAGGGCAGCGACCUAGCGAUAGGAAGCGAAUCCCAAAAACCGGUCUCAUUACGGAUUGGAGUCUGCAACUCGACUCCAUGAAGAUGGAAUCGCUAGUCAAUGUGCAUCAGCUUACGGCACAUUUGAAUACGUUCCCGCGUCCUUGCACACACCGUCCCGUACAAUUC